AUCGCUUCUCGGCCUUUUGGCUAAGAUCAAGUGUAGUAUCUGCUCUUAUCAGUUUAAUAAUGCACAAUCAACUUUUCUCUCUCGAAAAGUUAUCAGGGGUUCCUGCCGCUCCAGCAUCAGAAGAGUGAGUUGGUCUCUCAGGUGUACUAACGUAUCAUCAUUAGUAUACAUCAUUAGUAAAAAAACCUAAU